UGCACUUUACGUUUUGGUUCAUUUAGUACCCUUUGGCAAGCGGAGCGAGUUUCACGGUGCUACAACACAACGUUUCUCGAAGUCACGGUUAAUGGCGCUCAAAGCGAGCGAAAUAAAGAAGAUUAAGCACCC